UACGUAGGGGGCAAGCGUUGUCCGGAUUUAUUGGGCGUAAAGAGCGUGUAGGCGGUUCGGUAGGUCCGUUGUGAAAACUCGAGGCUCAACCUCGAGACGCCGAUGGAAACCCCCGAACUAGAGUCCGGAAGAGGAGAGUGGAAUUCCUGGUGUAGCGGUGGAAUGCGCAGAUAUCAGGAAGAACACCCGUGGCGAAGGCGGCUCUCUGGAACGCAACUGACGCUGAGACGCGAAAGCGUGGGGAGCAAACAGG
rnacentral:rRNA from 1 species